UACAGAGGGGGCAAGCGUUAUUCGGAAUUAUUGGGCGUAAAGGGUGCGUAGGCGGCCAAGUAAGUCAGUUGUGAAAGCCCCGGGCUCAACCCGGGAAGUGCUUCUGAUACUGCUUGGCUUGAGUAUUGGAGAGGUGAGUGGAAUUCCAGGUGUAGUGGUGAAAUACGUAGAUAUCUGGAGGAACACCGGCGGCGAAGGCGGCUCACUGGCCAUAUACUGACGCUGAAGCACGAAAGCGUGGGGAUCAAACAGG
rnacentral:rRNA from 1 species